rnacentral:rRNA from 1 species
GGCUUGGUAAUUGGAAUGAGGGAGAGUUAAACGGACCAUCGAGUAUCCAUUGGAGGGCAAGUCUGGUGCCAGCAGCUGCGGUAAUACCAGCUCCAAUAGCGUAUAUUAAAGUUGUUGCAGCUAAAAAGCUCGUAGUUGGACUUGUGUGCGCUGUCCGCGGGUGGCCUGCGCCCAAAAGGGCGUUUCGGUUCGGCCCCGGUGGCGCCUUGAAAUCUGCAGCUGGGGGGACGUUGGCCUUAACUGGUCGGCGACCGCACGCCGGCUGCUCGGUUACUGUGAGAAAAUUAGAGUGUUCAAGGCAGGCAUUGGGUGCAAUUGAAUACAUUAGCAUGGAAUAAUAAAAUAUGGCUCCUGCCGUAUUUUGUUGGUUUUGACUGGUGGGAGUAAUGAUUGAUAGGGACGGUUGGGGGUGCUAGUAUUGAGCGGCCAGAGGUGAAAUUCAUGGAUUCGCUCAAGACUAACUUAUGCGAAAGCAUUCACCAAGGACGUCCUCUUUAAUCAAGAACGAAAGUUGGGGGAUCGAAGACGAUCAGAUACCGUCGUAGUCUCAACCAUAAACUAUGUCGACUUGGGAUCGGCGGUAGUUUUUUCAUUAAGACACUGUCGGGACCACGGGAGAAAUCAAAGUGUCUGGACUCUGGGGGAAGUAUGGUCGCAAGGCUGAAACUUGAAGGAAUUGACGGAAGGGCACCACCAGGAGUGGAGCCUGCGGCUUAAUUUGACUCAACACGGGGAAACUUACCAGGUCCAGAGAUGUAGAGGAUUGACAGAUUGAAGCUCUUUCUUGAUCACUUCGGUGGUGGUGCAUGGCCGUUCUUAGUUGGUGGAGUGAUUUGUCUGGUUAAUUCCGUUAACGAACGAGACCUCAGCCUGCUAGUGUAGUCGGCUGGAUUGCCUUUGGCGAUCCGUGAUUUCGACUUCUUAGAGGGACAAUCGACGCGCAGUCGAUGGAAGUUUGAGGCAAUAACAGGUCUGUGAUGCCCUUAGAUGUUCUGGGCCGCACGCGCGCUACACUGCUGGGCUCAGCGAGUUUUACUUGGCCGAGAGGCCCGGUUAAUCUUGUGAAAUCCCAGCGUGCUUGGGCUCGCCUCCUGCAACUGGAGGCGCCAACGAGGAAUUCCUAGUAGACGCAGGUCAUCAACCUGCAUCGAUUACGUCCCUGCCCUUUGUACACACCGCCCGUCGUUCCAUAAGAGUGAGGCAUCCGGUGAAUUCUCGGGAGAGCCUGGGCGUGGCCAGCAAUGGUCUGCUCGGGUUUGAACUUGCAUAAACUUGGUGCCUAUGAUUAGGG